UACGUAGGGGGCAAGCGUUGUCCGGAAUCAUUGGGCGUAAAGAGCGUGUAGGCGGUCCGGUAAGUCGGCUGUGAAAGUCCAGGGCUCAACCCUGGGAUGCCGGUCGAUACUGCCGGACUAGAGUUCGGAAGAGGCGAGUGGAAUUCCCGGUGUAGCGGUGAAGUGCGCAGAUAUCGGGAGGAACACCUAUGGCGAAGGCAGCUCGCUGGGACGUUACUGACGCUGAGACGCAAAAGCGUGGGGAGCAAACAGG
rnacentral:rRNA from 1 species